rnacentral:misc_RNA from 1 species
GAUGAAGAACGUAGCGAAAUGCGAUACUUGGUGUGAAUUGCAGAAUCCCGUGAACCAUCGAGUCUUUGAACGCAAGUUGCGCCCGAAGCCAUUAGGCCGAGGGCACGCCUGCCUGGGCGUCACACGUCGUUGCCCCCCCAUCUACUCCUUCGGGAUUGCGGGGGGCGGAUGAUGGCCUCCCGUGCGCCUCGUCGCGCGGUUGGCCUAAAUGCCAAGUCCUCGGCGACGCACGCCACGACAAUCGGUGGUUGCGAAACCUCGGUUGCCCGUCGUGUGCGGUCGUCGCGCAUCGAGGGCUCGAAAAAAUUGCCGGGCUUCGGCUCGACUUUCAACGCGACCCCAGGUCAGGCGGGGUUACCCGCUGAAUUUAAGCAUAUCAAUAAGCGGAGA